CCCGGGCGGUGGGCGUGUGCCUCGAGCUCGGACUAGAGGAGCGGAGGGCUCGAUGGGGUCUCCGGAGCUGCUGGUGGUUUUACUAGAGCGCUUGUUUCUCCCUUCCCGGACCUAGAGGAUGGCCCCGGGGUCGGCCAGGCCAGGAUGUUUAGUGAGAAGCCCCGGCCAGGUGUGGCUGCGUCGGCCAUGUUCUAACCUGGCAAAUGGGACGCCAGCUAGUGGCGUAAUUGCCCCUCAGGUCGGGGCCGUGACUACGAGGAACUAAGCAAGACCUCCUAGGAAGAUGGGAAACAGGACCCGAACGUCAGUGCCUCCUUACCUGUCCUUCUUCCCGACGAAAUGCGGCCUGGAUGCUUCAGCAAGGAAGCCUACGUUGUCUCCUUAGUAGGCCAAACCUCAGUCACUGAGUAAAAUAAAAGAUCACUUAACUUGCCUCUUUGGGUUGCUA